rnacentral:rRNA from 1 species
CAGGGAAUCUUGCACAAUGGGCGAAAGCCUGAUGCAGCGACGCCGCGUGGGGGAUGAAGGCCUUAGGGUCGUAAACCCCUUUCAGCAGGGACGAAAAUGACGGUACCUGCAGAAGAAGCCCCGGCCAACUACGUGCCAGCAGCCGCGGUAAGACGUAGGGGGCGAGCGUUGUCCGGAUUUAUUGGGCGUAAAGAGCUCGUAGGCGGUUGCGUAAGUCGGAUGUGAAAACUCAGGGCUCAACCCUGAGACGCCAUCCGAUACUGCGCUGACUUGAAUCCAGUAGGGGAGUGUGGAAUUCCUGGUGUAGCGGUGAAAUGCGCAGGAUAUCAGGAGGAACACCCAUGGCGAAGGCAGCACUCUGGGCUGGUAUUGACGCUGAGGAGCGAAAGCAUGGGUAGCGAACAGGAUUAGAUACCCUAGUAGUCCCUGAGCGGGCUGGCAAGGCGCAU